rnacentral:rRNA from 1 species
UACAGAGGUCCCAAGCGUUGUUCGGAUUUACUGGGCGUAAAGGGUGCGUAGGUGGCGAGGUAAGUUCGAUGUGAAAUCUCGAGCUCAACUCGGAAAUGGCAUUGAAUACUAUCCCGCUUGAGGGUCGGAGGGGAGACUGGAAUUCUCGGUGUAGCAGUGAAAUGCGUAGAUAUCGAGAGGAACACCAGUGGCGAAGGCGAGUCUCUGGACGACUCCUGACACUGAGGCACGAAAGCUGGGGGAGC